rnacentral:snoRNA from 7 species
GAGCAAUGAUGACCCCAACAUGCCAUCUGAGUGGCUUUGCUGAAAUCCAGAGGCUGUUUCUGAGCUG